CACGAACAAUGAAUGUUGUUUUGCAAUAAAACUAAAGUUACAGCUAUAUUUACAUCAUUUUGAAGCGAUAAGGAUGUUAAUUGGGGGACAUAGACAUUAACGUGAGGAUAUAACCAUGACUACUGAAGUCUCUCUCUCAAACUGGAUUGUACGAGGGGAAUGACCAGACAAACCCAGCAUAAAGGAUAUCGAAAUGGGGUCUGCUUCACUCGUCGAUAAGUGCAUUCCUUGUGUUAAAGGGCGGCGAUAUCGAAAAUGAUGACAUCAAGAAAAGAGCAAUCGGUAGCGUGUUAUCGGCUGUUUUGCUGGAACGAUUACCGCCGGCAUAAGAACCACUUAUAACCAAACAGGAUAUGAGGACAAAGUGAAAGUUCUAUCUGGUGUUACAAUCGCCGUCUGCAUAUUGACAGUAGGUGUUAACGUAUUAGGCAUGUGUAUUGUACGCACAUAUGGUAGCAAUGUUGGCGUUCAUAUUCUUGAUGAUCAAAGAGAUGGAGUUGUGAUAAGCUACGGAACUAUUGGCAAAUAUACAACUUUUAUUACACAAAUUGAGGAUGUACAUUCGCAGGAGAGGUUUACCAAUUCAACUUUCCAAACUCUCAAAGAACAAAACAGUCUACUUCAAGAGAACCUGCGACUUCAACAAGAGCUUAUAAAUCGGCAACAGCGGGCGGGAGGAACACAGGUUUGAAUUUAUCCCUCGACCAGACCAACCAUCUUGUCGUCGAGGUGUAUUCCUCACCGUUCCUAAUGCAGUGAGAAUGAUGGAUGCGCUAUCAUAUGAAAACGUUUUCUUUUGAUCGAUGAUCUUUCUUUAAGUUAUUUGUAAGAAUCACCGUGCUGCAUAUUUUGCUCACAUUGUACAGUUCAAAGGCUUACUUUGAGGCUGCGUUUCAACAAUACGAAGUAAGAAGUCUUUAGAAAUGUAUUCUGAUUUUCAUACAUUCAGUAAUAUUAAUAUAUAAACUUUUUCACGGACUUCUAUAUUAAACCACUGAACUAUUGUUUUGUUACCUGCAAAUUAUGUGUACAUGAACUAUGAUACGACAUGAUAGAUAAUAUUUGUUUUGUUUUGUUUAUGAAGAUAUUAUUUAUGACAUCACCGUAACCCACACUUUCUCAUACAUCUUCUUAAACAAGUUAUUUUGUUGAGCAUAUUGAAUGAAACGCAUUCUCGUGCAACACACUUUGCGCUUCAUACUUUUCCAUAAUUAAAUCAUAUGUUUUUACUCGUAUAUUCUAUUUUCAUUUUGUAUGUUAUAUCCUAUUUUUUCAACAUUGAUCGGUGUAUAUGUUUUGUUAUUUUGAAUGCAGUAUAUCACAUUAUAAUUUGUAAGUUUUAGAAUGCGUGUGAUUCAGAUACACUUUCAUACAGGUUUAAUGCCAUUUGAUCAUAUUAUCACUCAAAAGUAAAACUCUCGAUAUAACGGAAAUUAAAGAGAAACCCCAACCUAACUCUUGUUAUAAUGGAAAUUAAAGAGAAACCCCAACCUCACUUUUGUUACAAAGGAAAUUAAAGCGAAACCCGAACCUCACUCUUGGUUUAACGGAAAUUAAAG